rnacentral:rRNA from 1 species
UACGGAAGGCAGCAGUGGGGAAUAUUGCACAAUGGGCGCAAGCCUGAUGCAGCCAUGCCGCGUGUAUGAAGAAGGCCUUCGGGUUGUAAAGUACUUUCAGUCGUGAGGAAGGUGUUAAGGUUAAUAACCUUAGCAAUUGACGUUAGCGACAGAAGAAGCACCGGCUAACUCCGUGCCAGCAGCCGCGGUAAUACGGAGGGUGCGAGCGUUAAUCGGAAUUACUGGGCGUAAAGGGCACGCAGGCGGUUAAUUAAGUUGGAUGUGAAAUCCCCGGGCUUAACCUGGGAAUGGCAUUCAAGACUGGUUAGCUAGAGUCUUGUAGAGGGGGUAGAAUUCCGAUGUGUAGCGGUGAAAUGCGUAGAGAUGUGGAGGAAUACCGGUGGCGAAGGCGGCCCCUGGGACAAAGGCUGACGCUCAUGUGCGAAAGCGUGGGGAGCGAAACAGGAUUAGAUACC